rnacentral:tRNA from 1 species
GCGGUCGUGGCGGAACCGGUAGACGCGCAGCGUUGAGGGCGCUGUGGGGAGACCCCGUGGAAGUUCGACUCUUCUCGACCGCACCA